rnacentral:rRNA from 1 species
CGCUAGUGGCGUGUCUUAGUCAUGCAAGUCGAACGAGAAAGCUCUCUUCGGAGGGUGAGUAAAGUGGCGAACGGGUGAGUAACGCGUGGGUAACCUACCUCAGAGUUGGGGAUAACACUCCUAACGGAGUGCUAAUACCGAAUGAUAAGAUGGGGCUUCGGUCUCCAUCUUUAAAGAUGGCCUCUACUUGUAAGCUGUCGCUUUGAGAUGGGCCCGCGUCCUAUUAGCUUGUUGGUGGGGUAACGGCCUACCAAGGCGAAGAUGGGUAGCCGGCCUGAGAGGGUGAUCGGCCACACUGGAACUGAGACAAGGUCCAGUCCCCUACGGGGGCCAGCAGUCUAGAAAUUUGCACAAUCGACGAAAGUCGGAUGCAGCGACGCCACGUGGAGGAUGAAGCCCCUCGGGGUGUAAACUCCUGUCAGAAGGGAAGAAGGCGCAGGUGCUAAUAACAUCUGUGGCUUGACGGUACCUUCAAAGGAAGCUCCGGCUAACUGCGUGCCAGCAGCCGCGGUAAUACGUGGGGAGCGAGCGUUGUUCGGAUUUACUGGGCGUAAAGAGCACGUAGGCGGGUGAGGUAAGUCGGUCGUGAAAUCCUCUGGCUCAACCAGAGAACUGCUGCCGAAACUAGUCAUCUUGAGUCCAGCAGAGGGAAUCGGAAUCCUGGGUGUAGCGGUGAAAUGCGUAGAUAUCUAGGAGAACACCAGUGGCGAAGGCGGGUUCCUGGGCUGGCACUGACGCUGAGGUGCGAAAGUUAGGGGAGCAAACAGGAUUAGAUACCCUGGUAGUCCUAACCGUAAACGAUGGGCACUAGGUGUUGGAGGAUGUUGACCCCUUCAGUACCGUAGCUAACGCAUUAAGUGCCCCGCCUGGGGAGUACGGUCGCAAGCUGA